AUUUGUUUGUUUACCUUUCAAAAAGGAUAGUUUAAUUGUAAUUUUAAGAAUAGAUGUUUAAACAGUGCUGAAGACACUGAAAUUGAUUUAGCAGAUAAAAAUCCUACUGAAAAUAUGUUAGGAAAACUAAUUCAGUUGUGCUUCAAUGUUUUUUGAAAACGACAAUUAGAAAUUGUGAAAGUUCCAAUGUCACAAUCUCCUAGAAAGUCAUAGCAGUGAAAGUUUUGGUUUUCCUUGCACUUCUUCUUUACGUUAGGUACAGGACCUCAAUAUGAAGGUAUGUGGAGUCAUACAGUUCCCACUCCUGGCUUUCUUUGUGUGACAAAAUCUGCAGAGAGAGCUUAGGCAAUUUUAAGAAUAACAAAGCAAACGUGUAUUGGUUGGAAGUUAAACUGGAAAACCACCUGAAAAGAAAUUUAAGCAAAUUAGGCAAUCAGCGUAGUGGAAGACAACAAAACAACUGAUGCAGCCAGAAUCGCAGUCCAAUUUGCUUUGGAAAAGGCAUAAAGAAACAUAAAGGACUAAAACUAAUUGAAAACCAGUGUAAAUGAAAAGGACAUGGGGAGGCACCUUAAAAAGCUAGAAAGGACCAAAUUUAAAAAGAUAAACAAGACCAAGAAAAAAAAUCUUGGAAAAACGGUUUCUCUCUUGAUUUUGAGCUGGUAAGGGAAACUGCUUCAGCCCUAGAAUCACCAAAGGCUGCCGAAAGAAACUCUGUGUAAUUAUUUCAACAUGGAGAGAUUGAACCAAUAUGCCAGUUCAAGUAACGAGCUUACCAUUCGCUACCUGUGAACUCUUUAGCAGAAAUUUUAAACAAACUUACCGAACAUUCCGAAAUUUUGAUCCAUGAUGUAGAAAGUUAUUCAAGAAAACCACACGUACAAAAAAUUCAAGAGAAUGAAGUAACCUGCAAUGAAGAAGACAACGCCACACCUGAGGCAUCGUCAUAUGUAGUGCAAAUUGAUGUGGAUAAGUCAGAAGAGAAAAAAGGAAGGCUGACAUUAAUCGAAACCCUGUGUCAAGAAAGAAAAAAUAGAAACCAUCUGUAAAAGUAAUGAAACCUACAAAAAAAGAAAAAGAUGUCUCUAAAACUAAAAAAGAUGAAGAAAAAAACUUACCUUAUAAUAGUUCCUCUUCUAAUUGUGAACUUGUAAGUGGAACUGAUGCUCAUUUGGAAAUAAUGGAACCUGCCGAAACAAAUUGUAUGGAACUAUUUCAAGAAAUAGGGAACGGACCAAUAUUCCAAAAGAAGAUUAUUGCUAUUUGUUGGUUUGGCUUUAAACAAUAGUUAGAUUAGAAAAACAAUUCAUAGAUCCCUAGUGCCAGAAGACCUUAUACUUGCCUUUUUUUGAUCCUUUGUUUCAUAAUUGUUUUUGUUUACUAUACUCGACUUUGUAGUCACAUUGUAUCAAGGUACUUAAAAAUACCAUAUCUUCGUAAAGACUAUAAAAAUUCAAACGAAAA